CCUACGGGUGGCAGCAGUGGGGAAUAUUGCGCAAUGGGCGAAAGCCUGACGCAGCGACGCCGCGUGAGGGAUGAAGGUCUUCUGAUCGUAAACCUCUGUCAGCAGGGAAGAACGGUCACUGUGCUAAUCAGCAGUGAAUUGACGGUACCUGCAAAGGAAGCACCGGCUAACUCCGUGCCAGCAGCCGCGGUAAUACGGAGGGUGCGAGCGUUAAUCGGAAUUACUGGGCGUAAAGCGCUCGUAGGCGGUAUGUCAAGUCAAGGGUGAAAUCCCCGCGCUCAACGUGGGAACUGCCUUUGAAACUGGCAAACUGGAGUGUGUGAGAGGAUAGUGGAAUUCCAGGUGUAGGAGUGAAAUGCGUAGAUAUCUGGAGGAACAUCAGUGGCGAAGGCGACUAUCUGGCACAUAACUGACGCUGAGGAGCGAAAGCGUGGGUAGCAAACAGGAUUAGAUACCCGGGUAGUC
rnacentral:rRNA from 1 species